rnacentral:rRNA from 1 species
GCAAGCCUGAUGCAGCCAUGCCGCGUGUGUGAAGAAGGCCUUCGGGUUGUAAAGCACUUUCAGCGCGGAGGAAGGGGGUGAGGUUAAUAACCUUGUCGAUUGACGUUACCCGCAGAAGAAGCACCGGCUAACUCCGUGCCAGCAGCCGCGGUAAUACGGAGGGUGCAAACGUUAAUCGGAAUUACUGGGCGUAAAGCGCACGCAUGCGGACUGUCAAGUUGAAUGUGAAAUAUCCUGGCUCAACGUGGGAACCGGAUAUGAGGCCAUGUUUCUAUUCUUUGCAGCUGGUGGUCCCUGUCUGGUCAAGCGUUUCUGUACUUGGAGAGAUGGAUCGAAUACCGCUGGCUAUGUAAUCCUACGACAAGCCUGCGCCUUCGGUCAGAUACAGCGGCGAGAAUUCGAUGUAGGCAUGGACUAAUC